GUGAGUUAGGGUCGGGUCGCGCCCUUUCACGACGCCAACACGGGUUUGAAUCCCGUCAGGGACGCCA
rnacentral:tRNA from 1 species